GACGAACGCUGGCGGCGUGCUUAACACAUGCGAGUCGAACGGAAAGGCCCUGCUUGUGUGGGGUGCUCGAGUGGCGAACGGGUGAGUAACACGUGAGUAACCUGCCCUUGACUUUGGGAUAACUUCAGGAAACUGGGGCUAAUACCGGAUAGGAGCUCCUGCUGCAUGGUGGGGGUUGGAAAGUUUCGGCGGUUGGGGAUGGACUCGCGGCUUAUCAGCUUGUUGGUGGGGUAGUGGCUUACCAAGGCUUUGACGGGUAGCCGGCCUGAGAGGGUGACCGGCCACAUUGGGACUGAGAUACGGCCCAGCCUCCUACGGGAGGCAGCAGUGGGGAAUAUUGCACAAUGGGCGGAAGCCUGAUGCAGCAACGCCGCGUGCGGGAUGACGGCCUUCGGGUUGUAAACCGCUUUCGCCUGUGACGAAGCGUGAGUGACGGUAAUGGGUAAAGAAGCACCGGCUAACUACGUG
rnacentral:rRNA from 1 species